GCAUAAGCGCACGGUUCCGCAUGGAACAGUGUGAAAAACUCCGGUGGUAUACGAUGGAUCCGCGUCUGAUUAGCCAGUUGGCGGGGUAACGGCCCACCAAAGCGACGAUCAGUAGCCGGCCUGAGAGGGUGAACGGCCACAUUGGGACUGAGACACGGCCCAAACUCCUACGGGAGGCAGCAGUGGGGAAUAUUGCACAAUGGGGGAAACCCUGAUGCAGCGACGCCGCGUGAGUGAAGAAGUAUUUCGGUACGUAAAGCUCUAUCAGCAGGGAAGAAAAAAAGUCCUUUGGACUUUGGACGGUACCUGACCAAGAAGCCCCGGCUAACUACGUGCCAGCAGCCGCGGUAAUACGUAGGGGGCAAGCGUUAUCCGGAUUUACUGGGUGUAAAGGGAGCGUAGACGGCAGCGCAAGUCUGGAGUGAAAUGCCGGGGCCCAACCCCGGAACUGCUUUGGAAACUGUGCAGCUCGAGUGCAGGAGAGGUAAGCGGAAUUCCUAGUGUAGCGGUGAAAUGCGUANAUAUUAGGAGGAACACCAGUGGCGAAGGCGGCUUACUGGACUGUAACUGACGUUGAGGCUCGAAAGCGUGGAGAGCAAACAGGAUUAGAUACCCUGGUAG
rnacentral:rRNA from 1 species